GCUGGUGUAGCUCAGUUGGUUAGAGCGUGUGGUGUUUAAACCACAAGGCCGAAGGUUCAAGCCCUUUCUCCAGCA
rnacentral:tRNA from 1 species